GUCCGAAGACAUUUGGUUUUCGCACUCUAACUUUAGUAAAAGUAUAUAGAAAUCUAUGAAAUUUAAACACAAGGUUUAUGACCAUAAAAGGAAGGUUGGGAUUGAUUUUGGGUGUUUUGGUCCCAGCAGUUUAGGAAUAAGGGGUCAAAAGGGCCCAAAUAAGCAUUUUUCUUGGUUUUCACACAAUAACUUUAGUAAAAGUGAACAGAAAUCUAUGAAAUUUUAA
rnacentral:lncRNA from 1 species